UUAAAUUCUCUAACCCGGCGGUGGACCUCCGGUGAGGUCAGCAGUAAUGAGGUUCCGUUCCUGUUUUGGGGUUUCUCAGGUUAAGGCCUUGUCGUCGCGCUUCCGCAGAUUGUAUUCCCAUCUGCGGCCGCAAGGCCGGAGGCCUUCCUUUGGUAUUGCGUUCGACAUUGACGGUGUGAUCAUUCGAGGCGGUAAUCCCAUCGGCGGAUCUCCACAGGCGUUGAGUAGGCUACAUGCAGAGGACGGCACCUUGAAGAUUCCAUAUAUAUUCUUAACUAAUGGAGGUGGAGUCCCUGAAUCCAAACGUGCUUCCGAAUUAAGUGGGCUUUUGGGAGUUCAGAUCUUAGCUUUGCAGGUUGUUCAGGGACAUUCACUUUUCCGAGAUCUGCUUAGCAGAUUUGAGAAUGACCUUAUUGUAGCUGUUGGUAAAGGGGAGCCUGCUAAGGUGAUGCUAGAAUAUGGGUUCAAAAAAGUUCUUUCUAUUGAUGAAUAUGCAUCAUUUUUCAAGGACAUUGACCCCCUAUCUCAGUACAAGACUUGGAGAAUUAAUCAAAAUUAUGAAAUUAUGAAAAACAUGAAUGGAUUGUACUCAAGAUACAAUGUUGACUCAGAUGCAGUAAAAGGGACGUUUAUUGUCAGUGAUCCUGUUGACUGGGGAAGAGACAUACAGGUUCUUUGUGACAUUUUAAGCUGUGGCGGUCUUCCUGGUAAAGCAAAAGGGCAUCAACCUGCUUUAUAUUUUGCAUCGGAUGAUCUGGAGUAUCAGGCUGCUUUUCCUUCUGAACGUUUGGGAAUGGGUGCUUUCAGGAUAGCACUGGAAAGCAUCUUCAAUAGCUGCAGUGUUAAUAGUACUCCUCUGUGGUAUACUUCGUUUGGAAAACCAAAUCCAUAUGUAUUCAAGAUUGCAGAAUCAGUUUUGAUGCAAGUUGCCUCAACCAGAUACGGUGGACAGUGUACUGUGGAUGACACAAAGGAAAAUAAGUUCAGUACAAUCUACAUGAUUGGUGAUAAUCCAAUGGUAGACAUCAAAGGUGCUACUAAGGCAGGGCGUCCUUGGUUUUCCAUUCUAACAAGAACUGGGGUUUUCAAGGGUAAAGAUAACCACCAGGAGUAUCCUGCAGACAUUGUAAGCGGAAAAUGCACUUGAGAUGUGAAUCGUUUUACUUCUUUAGCAUCUACUAGAAUCAACGACGUUUUUGUGUGGAGAUAAUGCUAGUGGUAGAAAACGUUGAGGAGGCUGUUGAGUAUAUUCUAAAGAAAGAAGCCUUUUGAUUGGUUUUCAAUGCUAGAAAUCUCAUCUUCAUUCCAAGCUCAAUGGUUUUAGAAUCGUCAAAGCAACUGCCACGACCUGGCCCAAAAUCUCAAAGUACCGAGGCAGAAGUAAAUGAUUUGAUGGAAUAUUGAAUGCUCUAUUCAUAUUGAAAAAAUUUCAUCGCAGUCAAUAACAUAAUUUUUCCCAAACAUAGCUCUCAAUACAUAAUUUUUUUCAUACAUCAUAGGGUCUGGAAUUAUGGGAACAAGAUCUGGUUACAAGCCAAAUGUGACUUGAGGUUAUGUUUGGGACAGUUUUUGUUUUUGCUUUUUAAAGUAGUUCUUCAGCACAAAAUUUUGAACUAAAUAAAUUUUAAUAUUGUUAUUUCAAAAUACAUAAGUUAUGUAUGGGUGCCGUGUAUUGUUAUGUAUCGGGGUGAUGUAAUGCAUCUUGAUUCGUCUCAUGAUGGUCUGAUGACCGCACGUAAUAAUUUCUCCCACUUGGGGCGGAGCCCAAGGUGUAAAAAUUUUCAUAUUUGUAGCCUAGCGACCAAAAGACAUCUCUUGCGGUCUACUAUGUUUUUAGUAUUUUGAUAUGAUAAAAAGGCUUAUCUUCCAAUUGUCA